CAGUAGCCGCGGGAAUACGAAGGGGGCUAGCGUUACUCGGAAUUACUGGGCGUAAAGGGCGCGUAGGCGGCACGAUUAGUCAGGCGUGAAAUUCCUGGGCUCAACCUGGGGACUGCGCUUGAUACGGUCGAGCUAGAGGAUGGAAGAGGGUCGUGGAAUUCCCAGUGUAGAGGUGAAAUUCGUAGAUAUUGGGAAGAACACCGGUGGCGAAGGCGGCGACCUGGUCCAUUACUGACGCUGAGGCGCGACAGCGUGGGGAGCAAACAGGAUUAGAUACCCGUGUAGUCCCUGUCUCUUAUAU
rnacentral:rRNA from 1 species